GAUGAACGCUGGCGGCGUGCCUAAUACAUGCAAGUCGAGCGAACAGACGAGGAGCUUGCUCCUCUGACGUUAGCGGCGGACGGGUGAGUAACACGUGGAUAACCUACCUAUAAGACUGGGAUAACUUCGGGAAACCGGAGCUAAUACCGGAUAAUAUAUUGAACCGCAUGGUUCAAUAGUGAAAGACGGUUUUGCUGUCACUUAUAGAUGGAUCCGCGCCGCAUUAGCUAGUUGGUAAGGUAACGGCUUACCAAGGCAACGAUGCGUAGCCGACCUGAGAGGGUGAUCGGCCACACUGGAACGGGGCAACGGUCCAGACUCCUACGGGAGGCAGCAGUAGGGAACCUUCCGCAAUGGGCGAAAGCUUGACGGAGCAACGCCGCGUGAGUGAUGAAGGUCUUCGGAUCGUAAAACUCUGUUAUUAGGGAAGAACAAAUGUGUAAGUAACUAUGCACGUCUUGACGGUACCUAAUCAGAAAGCCACGGCUAACUACGUG
rnacentral:rRNA from 1 species